rnacentral:rRNA from 1 species
CAAUCUGCUAGUGUUGAUGAACAACCUGUUCAUACUCCUGAUAAUUAUGAUCCAAGAAAUUAGGAUAAUCAUGAUAAUAAAGCAAGAGACAUCUUAGUUGAGAAAGGGCCUAUGAGAGAGUAAAAGAUGGAAUGGCAAGUAGAUGAAGCAGGAAGAGAUUUUUCCUAUUCUCAUUAUCAUAGAUAAUUAGGCAAUGAAGAGCAACAUGAUAGGAAGUGGCUAGUUUAUCCAAAUGAUUUCGACAAAGUGUUUUGCUUUUGUUGCAAGAUCUUCAAGUCUAACACUAGCAGGAGUCAGAGUUCCAUAGCACGUGAUGGAUUACGACAUUGGAGGCAUAUUAAUGAGAAGCUUAAAAAUAUGAAAAAUAGUGUCAAGCAUAUUAAUAACAUGAAAAAUUGGAUUUAA